rnacentral:rRNA from 1 species
UACGUAGGGUGCAAGCGUUGUCCGGAAUUAUUGGGCGUAAAGAGCUCGUAGGCGGUCUGUCGCGUCUGCUGUGAAAACUCGGGGCUUAACCCCGGGCCUGCAGUGGGUACGGGCAGACUAGAGUGCGGUAGGGGAGACUGGAAUUCCUGGUGUAGCGGUGAAAUGCGCAGAUAUCAGGAGGAACACCGGUGGCGAAGGCGGGUCUCUGGGCCAUUACUGACGCUGAGGAGCGAAAGCGUGGGGAGCGAACAGG